UACGGAGGGUGCAAGCGUUAUCCGGAUUCACUGGGUUUAAAGGGUGCGUAGGCGGGUAAGUAAGUCCGUGGUGAAAUCUCUGAGCUUAACUCAGAAACUGCCGUGGAUACUAUUUGCCUUGAAUAUUGUGGAGGUGAGCGGAAUAUGUCAUGUAGCGGUGAACUGUGUAGAGAUCGGGAGGAACACCGGUGGCGAAGGCGGGUCUCUGGGCAUCUCCUGACGCUGAGGCGCGAAAGCGUGGGGAGCAAACGGG
rnacentral:rRNA from 1 species